ensembl:lncRNA
AAUAACCUCUGUUAGGAGACUGUUCAGUUUUUCACACUGCUGUCACACACACAAAAAAAUGCAACAUUCCACUAGCUGUUUCCAAAAGCUCUGGGUGACAAGACACACACACUCACUACGAAAAGUCCAGCAGGUGCCAAUUGGUGUUGCUGCAGCAAGAAAGAAUAACAACGAGAGCUGUGAAAGUCUCCACUAUCCUGGGAAAGAAUCGGGCAUCUCCCUACUUGGAUAACCACAGUAUCCUCUCAAACACAAGGCCUCUGUUUGAAUGCCACCCAAACACCAUAUUAAGCAGUAUUUUUAUUCCCAACCCUGGGACAAGAACGGAAGCUCUAGGAGACAGGCUGUGUCUGCAGGACUCAGAACUGCCUGGAAUGUGUCCAGAGGUGGGAUGCUGGAGAAGAGGACUUUCCACCUGCUCCCAGCAAGCAUCAUUCAGCCUCUUCUUGGACCUCCUUCAUCUUGGAUUGACGUCCAAAGAUCGUGGGGCUCAGACUAGCUUGUUAUGCGACAGUCAUCGCCAUCACUUGGGCAAAACGGAUGCUCAGGGAGCACUCACUCUGUGCCACAGGGUUGAUGUUCACGUAACACAGGUCACCUCAUUGAAUUUCGCCUUCCUCCCACCUUAAAAAAUAGAUAUUUAUCCUUUCUGUUAGGAAACAGAGACUCAACGGAGACAAACAACAUGGCCAAGGUCACAGCUAAAAUUUGACAGGACCCAGAUUCCCGCCCGAACUAUGUCUAGAUGCUCAUGUUGCAACAGAAGAAAGGGUGGGGGGAAAACUGUAAUUGUAAUGUAUACAUGUAAGGAUAACCUGACCCCCUUGCUGUACAGUGGGAAAAAAAAAUAGAUAUUUAUCAUUUCUGUUAGGAAACAGAGACUCAACAGAGACAAACAACAUGGCCAAGGUCACAGCUGAAAUUUGACAGGACCCAGAUUCCCGCCCAGUCUGACCACAUCACCACACUAUUGCGCCAGUGAGCCCUUCCCCUGUGCCUGAUACCGUCGUCUUAAGGGGUCUAAUCCUGUCAAGUCUCAGCUCCUUUCUCCAGAUGAAAAAACGGAGUCUCAAGGGAGUCAUGUAUAAAUCGCCUGCUCAAGGUCAUAGUGCGCGUGAGUGGCACAAGUGGGUUGCAUCCAGGGCUGUCUGCAGCAUCGCACUUCCUCGCUUUAUGGAAGAAGAAAGAGAAGGAAAGAGGCCCAGGAGGAGGAGGAGGAGGAGGCAAACUGAAACGCUGCAGAUCACUAAUUACUAAUCAGUGAGAAUGGUGGGACUUGAAUC